rnacentral:rRNA from 1 species
UUAGAUUAAGUUAUUAAGGGCGCACGGUGGAUGCCUUGGCACUAGAAGCCGAUGAAGGACGUUACUAACGACGAUAUGCUUUGGGUAGCUGUAAGUAAGCGUUGAUCCAGAGAUUUCCGAAUGGGGAAACCCAGCACAAGUUAUGUUGUGUUAUCGACAAGUGAAUUCAUAGCUUGUCAGAAGGCAGACCCGGAGAACUGAAACAUCUUAGUACCCGGAGGAAGAGAAAGAAAAUUCGAUUCCCUGAGUAGCGGCGAGCGAAACGGGAAGAGCCCAAACCAAUAAGCUUGCUUAUUGGGGUUGUAGGACACUCUAUACGGAGUUACAAAGGAAUAUAUUAAACGAAUCAUCUGGAAAGUUGAAUCAAAGAAGGUAAUAAUCCUGUAGUUGAAAAUAUAUUCUCUCUUGAGUGGAUCCUGAGUACGACGGAGCACGUGAAAUUCCGUCGGAAUCUGGGAGGACCAUCUCCUAAGGCUAAAUACUCUCUAGUGACCGAUAGUGAACCAGUACCGUGAGGGAAAGGUGAAAAGUACCCCGGAAGGGGAGUGAAAGAGAACUUGAAACCGUG